AUUAGCAAACCAGAGGCUUAGAAGAUUUCUGAACCCCUUGCGGUUGAGACGAGCCAAGAUUGCAUCCUUGAUACACCUGUCAAUCUGCCUAAACAGUAGAGAAGGUAGAAGUGAUGGGCCAGCGUGGAGUCGCGAGUUCCGUUCACGCCAAAUCAGAUAUAUUGUAGCCUGGAAGACCAGACGCUUGAGCAGAGUAGCAGGAGGAGAAGCAGUAUCACUAAUCCAAUUCAUAAAAGCACCCCAGUUAUCGCAGAGCCAGCUAGCCCCCAAACGUCUUGA
rnacentral:lncRNA from 1 species